UGGUUUCCCAAGAAAAUUUUCCAGCUCUGGUUUCUCGCACUGGUAGACAUUUGCAGCGAUAUACUAAAGCUGGUCGUCGUCAAGUUGUGGGCUGUAUACCAUAUAAAUACCAAAGUGAUAAACAAGACUUCUUGGACAUUGAAGAAGUGUUAGAAGUUCUUGUCAUCAGUUCCCAGAAAGGAAAAGGAAUGUUGUUUCCUAAGGGAGGUUGGGAAUUAGAUGAAACAAU
rnacentral:misc_RNA from 1 species